rnacentral:tRNA from 1 species
CCCCUGCGGGAGUGAUCGCCAUGGUGGGGAGCUGGUUCUCGAUAAAAAAGAACACUCCUACCUGGACUCGAACCAGGGUUAUCGGAUUCAGAGUCCGAGGUGAUAACCGCUACACUAUAGGAGCGCCUGCUUACUCGGCGAGUAGAGCAUGUGACUGUGAAUGAAUGGCAUGACCCAUUGACGAGGAAAUGGCUAUCCGACCAAACCCCACCAUUGACCCACCACAAGCCUACCGAAAGCCUUCAGUCAAAUUAAACUGUUGCCCCCGCCCCCCCCCCAUUCGAGACGUUAAGCCAUGGUCAGUGCCUCUCCGAAUCUUUACACGUGCACAAAACACCAAAAUGUGGUGGCCAUGACUAUAACCCCCGCGUGCCACCCACGGCAUUAAGUAUGCCGUUCUUGGAGAACUGCGCCUUGAGAUGCCAGCAAGUAAAUCAUGUUGCGCAGCUGCACGCAGGCGUCGCUAACAAAACUGCGACUCAGAGCGUAAGUGUGCCCACUGUUUGAAUUCUUUGAGUCACUUCAGCUGCAAAGCCUACAACUGCAGACGCGCACUUC